rnacentral:misc_RNA from 1 species
CUCUGUUGCCUCAGUUGCCUCAGUCGCCUCUGUUGGCUAUGCUGCCUCUGCCAUUCCCAGAGAAUCGAGAAUCGGGCAGAGCAUAAAACUGAACUGAACUCCUCGAGGAAGGCCGCGCCGUGAACAUUAACGCUGGCGUUAACGCUAACGGCCAUGCCGUGCAUUCUCUUUUUAUUCUCGCUGCAGCCACCCCGAAGCUGAGCUGAGCUGAGGCUUCAGCCCAAGAGCGGAAAGUAGGUGAGGCACAUGAGCUCGGCGGCAGGCAGCAGACAGCAUUGGGGCGUGAGGGGCGGAAGGGAGGGGCAGGAUGAAGGGGCACGGAGAGUGUUUACCCCGGCUUAGACGGCUCUGACAGGCCGUCUGGGCUCCAAAGCAUGAAUGAGUUGUGGAAGCAAAUGAAGUGCCACGCC